GCGGCAGGCCUAACACAUGCAAGUCGAGCGGCAGCGGGUAGAAAGCUUGCUUUCUAUGCCGGCGAGCGGCGGACGGGUGAGGAAUACCUAGGAAUCUGUCCAUUAGUGGGGAAUAACUAUCCGAAAGGAUAGCUAACACCGCAUACGCCCUACGGGGGAAAGGGGGGGAUAUUCGGACCUCUCGCUAAUGGGUGAGCCUAGGGCGGAUUAGCUAGUUGGUGGGGUAAAGGCCUACCAAGGCGACGAUCCGUAGUUGGUCUGAGAGGAUGACCAGCCACACCGGGACUGGGACACGGCCCAGACUCCUACGGGAGGCAGCAGUGGGGAAUAUUGCACAAUGGGCGCAAGCCUGAUGCAGCGACGCCGCGUGAGGGAUGACGGCCUUCGGGUUGUAAACCUCUUUCAGCUAUGACGAAGCGCAAGUGACGGUAGUAGCAGAAGAAGGACCGGCCAACUACGUGCCAGCAGCCGCAGUAA
rnacentral:rRNA from 1 species